ACUCUUAGCUUUCUAAUCCUCCUAUGGUUUUCCUCUGAGCCUUGCCUGCCAUUCAUUAACCGGAUAAAUACAGUAAACUCUUCUUACAUUAGUGACAGCGCUGUCAUCCAACAAAUACAUCCUGUUAUUUGAUUGCUAGAGGGGAACAGCCUUGAGAAGAUUUGUGUGGCGACAGAAGCAUGAUGAAAGCCUUAAAAAUGCCGGAAUUAAAUUGUCAUGUGGACCUUGAUCCAGGCAUCAGGUUGGAACUACAGG